GGGGGCGAAAGGUUUCGACCGGACGGUUGAGGUGUCGGUUGCGUGCCGAGGUUCCAAGGAGGCCUCGUAAAACACCUUGGGCAAACAAUAGGUGCCGAUUACGGCUACCGCAUGGCUGCCUAGUUGAGCAGCCCGCCCGCCGCCCCUUGCCCGCGAGGGACGGAUGGGCGACGAACAGCGGGCUAUGAGAUUCCCGACCGCGGUCCCCCCGCUGUCGGGCACCUCGCGGCCGCCGGGGAGUGGCCCGGUUACCCCGGCGGCGACAUCCGGCCGGGCUGGCCGGGUUGGGACCGUGUCGCUCGCGGGCCCGCCUGGCGAGAUCCAAAACAGCGACUACGCACGUAGAAGCCGGCACGGAAACGUCACGGGACGCGGGUUCGAAUCCCGCCGCCUCCAGUU
rnacentral:tmRNA from 1 species